rnacentral:tRNA from 1 species
CUCCUGAUGGCACAGUUGGUAGCGCGUUGGACUGUAAUUGAAAGUUGUUUAGAGAUCCACAGGUCGGGUGUUCGAGUCACCCUCAGGAGA